CCUACGGGAGGCAGCAGUGGGGAAUAUUGGGCAAUGGGCGCAAGCCUGACCCAGCAACGCCGCGUGAAGGAAGAAGGCUUUCGGGUUGUAAACUUCUUUUCUCAGGGACGAAGAAAGUGACGGUACCUGCGGAAUAAGCCACGGCUAACUACGGGCCAGCAGCCGCGGCAAUACGUAGGUCGCAAGCGUUCUCCGGAUUUAUUGGGUGUAAAGGGCGUGUAGGCGGGAGCGCAAGUCAGAUGUGAAAAGUCAGGGCUCAACCCUGGGCCUGCAGUUGAAACUGUGUGUCUUGAGUGCUGGAGAGGCAUGCGGAAUGCCAGGUGUAGCGGUGAAAUGCGGAGAUAUACGGAGGAACACCAGUGGCGAAGGCGGAUUGCUGGACAGUAACUGACGCUGAGGCGCGAAAGCGUGGGGAGCGAACAGGAUUAGAUACCCUAGUAGUC
rnacentral:rRNA from 1 species